ACAGCCCACACCUCUCCUGCAUGGCACCCUGCAAAAAGGCUGGCUGAAGGGAGGUAAACCUUGCCUCGUUAGCAGCAGGCCUUAACGAGGUAAAGGCCUACUGCAAAGGCCCUGAACCCUUCUGUGCCUCCUCCUCCCCGGCUGGUUCCUGUGCCCAGCAUGGUGGUUCUCCUGGCUAGACUGCAGGUAAGGCUGGUGGCCCCACAUGUGCAGCCCUCUCCGUGCCCUUUAUUAAUACAAAGACCUCAGAAGGCAAUCAACAACCCCAGGUGAGCUGCGGCCCCUCCUCGCCUCAGGCCUGACAUUUAAUGCAGACAUACAUUCACCUGAGGUCCCUAAUUCUUGGCUAGCCUUUGCCUGCCCGCCAUUGGGUAUGCAUAAGAUUACGUGACCCUAUUAUAAUGAAAAAUGUCUUCUGAGGCGUGUGGAAGACCAGAGAAGCAGUGAGGGAAGGCAGCAGCUUCACCUGAGUCUCCAGCAGCACUGAGCUGCUCUCAGCGGGCCUGUACCUUCCUUGCCUGGUGCUACGAGGGAAAGCAUCCAGCUGCAAAAUGCAAACCAGGCUCUUCCCCUGCUUUCACUUCUCACUGUAUUUUAUGCCUGUUGCCCUCCCAAGGGCUGUAUGUGAUGUGUAACCCCUCUCUGACUGGCACCCAGCUGUACUGGAGCAUUCUGGUCCAGCUGUAGACCAGUUCUAAGAGGCAGCUCUUGCAUUUCUCCAAAGGACCGUGGGUUUCUAAAGCCAAGUCCAAAAGGUGCCCAGACACCACAGGGAGAUGAUUCAUGAGCUCAGCUGGCUGGAUCAGCUUUGGGACCAAUGCUCUGCCUCGCCCCCAUCCCAGGAGCCACCACCUCCACACAGGACUGCCUGAACCCCACAGCCCUCAGCUGACGACAACCUGCUUGCUAAGGCCAGCUGGAGUGAACAAAAUAGCAGGUUAUUGGCCUUGUCCUGAUGACUGAAAUGCAGAUGAGGUGUGCCUUACUGCUGACCCCUGAGCACACACAACAGCAGUGACAGCAGCAAAUUUCACGGACACCCAGCUCUGAAGAAAUUGGCUCAAAUACUGCCACGGAGCCAGCGCAGCACUCUGCUUGGAGCUGUGCCUGGGGCAGGAUCUCAGCGCCCCUGAUGUGAAUAGAUAGGGAUCAGGGUUACCAAGUUAUAACACUGUGAGGAUCAGGCUGGAAAACAACCCAGCACCUGAAGGGACCAAUUUUUUUCUUUCCCAAGGCCUGAGCAGAGUGAGAAGUCGAAUGCUCUCUCCUGACACGAGACAUGGCAAUAGAAAUAUUAAAAAUAAUGCUUCUAUGAACAGUGAAACUUCAGUAGUCUAAUUUCCUGUGGCUUUGUGCUUCCUGUUUAUGUUCCUUUCAUGCCACGUGUGGUGAGGGGUGAGCUCUGAGCAGAGCUUGCUUGGGGCUCUGCACGCUCCCUGUCUGGGCUGAUGCCUGCAUCCCCUCAGUGCAGGAGCUGCCCCCCGCCUGGUAUAAGGCGAAUCACUUAUAAUCAGGCCUGCAGCUGAAUCAAGACAGUAAAGGAAUAAAACUGUUGUGUCAUCAAGCUUAAAUUUGGAAAUUAGACUCUAAUGUGGACGUGAGUGCAGGCACUGUCGCGGAACAGCAACCUAUCUGUGUGCAAGGGCGCUGCACCAGACGGGAGCAAAACAGGCACAGACCCCUGGAGCGCCAGGAUGGGAUCUGGAGAAGUGUAAAAGUGAAGAGGCAAGUUUCUGCUGUCCCAGGCCCAUUGUUCUGGCUGUGUCUCAAUCUAUGCAUGGCUGAAACGAUAGCAGCGGAGUUCACCAUUUACCUCCUUCCUGAAACAGAGGAUCGUUUGUGUGGCCGCCCUGCCAAGCAUUGCGGAGCACUCCAAACACCGAUGGCAGACGUAAGCAGACUCAAUCGCAGGUGCCGCCCAUUUCCAGGCUGCUUUCACUUGAAGCCUUUGAGGUCUAGAUGAAAGGCGAGCACGGCCAGAGCAGCACCGGCACAACGGGCCUGCUGACAUCCCUCGGGGGUGUUAGCAGGAAAAUGGAAAACCUGCAACUCAGAGCUAACGUGAUUAGAGACCGACAGAGCUCCUCUGUGCUGCUGGUGAGGCAGGGAAAAUAUCCAAAAAAAGAGAGGAAAAGAGUUGGGUCAGGUUUGCAGAGGUGGGGAAAGAGUAGAGGGACGAAGAUGCUCGCCUAUUUCUGGUGUUGCUAUGGUUCGUGCAGCUGUUUGCAAUAAACACAGCAAGGGAGAUGGUCCCAGGCUAAAAGGAGCCCAGUGAUGAUGGAAGCUCAGGAAGCCCUCCAAGUUCUGUGGCUUUUGUCCUCUGAGCCUUUCCUUCAAGCUAGCAAAACAAACAGCAGCCUUGCACAUGAGCAGCAGCAUCUGAGGGCUGGUGGGAAGCCAGAGAAGAAGGACAAGGGCACAGGGCUCACAGGGUGGUGGGGUGCCUUUCACCAGCACCACCAAUAACACAAGGAAGAGGGGCAGCUCUGAGCAACCUGCCUUCUUUUGCCUUUGUCACGUCCUCAGUUAGUCAUGAAUAACACAACACAGUCUGUGACUUUGGGGGUAAAAAACACGUUACUUGGCCUUGGCCUUCUCUUUGGUUGGUGGCUGUGCUGGGAGAUCAAGGGGCAGAAGAGCUACGGUGAAGCUAGUGAAGCUAGAGUGUGAGUGAAGGGGUGGGGGGACAGGCCAGGCAACGGAGCUCUUCUCAGAGCUACCCUCCCUGCCCAUUCCCCUUCACAUCUGAAUCCGUGGGGCACAGCAGCCUGUGGCUUUGGCCCAGGGAUGUGGGGAGCAGUGGCACAGCUGGACAGGGUGGGAUGCUCCGUGCCACCACCAUCCUGAGACGCCUGGGGACACCGGCCAUGAACAUGGGCUUUAAGGAGAUGCUUUUGGAGCAGCUUGGAGCAGUGGUGAUGUUGCUGCUGAGAAGGAUGGGAGCUAAAAAUCACCACAAACGGCUGUGGAUUCCUGCUUCAGGGCCUGAGAGGGAUGGGGUGCUGGCAGGGCAGCUGGAGAGCUUGGCUUCACAGACAGAACACCCCAGGUUGGGGAGAGAGCAGGGACAGGUGAAUAAAAACCUGAAAUACGGAUCGGAAAGAGAAGAGGAAGCUUGCAGGAGCCUCACCAGCAUAGCUGCUAAUAGCUUUUGUGUAAAUGUUAUUUGCAAGUAUUCCACAAACUAUUUAUGACUGUUUUAUGUGCGCUAAGUGUUUGCUCGCCAAGAAAUGACACAUUACCCUUUCUUUGAAGCUGACUGGGAAUUAUUACCACCUGCUUAUCAGGCUUUUACAUAUCUAGCCCAAGGUACAAUGCUAUAAUGCUUUCCAGCAAAGAGAACUCUUGACUCCGCAGCCAGAUCCGCUCCAAAAGCGAAAUGGUGGUGUGGGAGCAGAAGAAAUGCAAGAAAAUUAUACAUAAUUACUUUUCCUCCAGCUCUUUUAUGCAGGGAACAGGUGACUCAGCAUUCCCAUAAAGCUACCUUAAUGGGAGAGGAGGAGCUCUGUCUUGAACUGGCAGCUGUCCGCCCUUGCCUUUGCUUCUGAUAUCUGCCUACUAAAACUUACCUUCAGGGCCGGUUGUUGCUUAUCAGCACAGUAACAUGCAUACUUGUGGAGUGCUCCUUUCUUCUUUCAUUAAAAGGAGGAUUUCCCACCCCACAUGCAAUUAUUUAAAGCAAGGUGCAAAUAGGCAAAUAAUAACCACAAGCAUCUGAGCUUUUUUUUUUUUUUCCCCCCCAAAAAUAAUCCCACUAAUUUAUUCUACUAGUGAUGUCUAGCUGGGUUCACAGGUCCAGCUGCUGUGCCAUGUCUUAUAGAGCUAAGGAAGCAAGCCUGCCCCUGUUUGCUGUCUCCUUGUUUUACGUGACUGAAGUAGCUGCUUUCUGGUUGCUGUUGUUUGUUUCUCUAAGGUACUGAAAACACACGGACAAAUAUAACGUGACACUGGAGCACCACUGCAUAGAGCAAUAUUGCUAUUUGCAGCACUGCACAAGAGCGGGGAUCCUGAAAAAGCAGGGCACAUUUGUGCCAGGCACUGUAAAACUGACCAAGACGAGACUGCUCAGCAGGUGAAGCACACCAUGAGCCUGAGUUCUGCGCUGCACGGUGCUAAUUAAAUUAGCCCAUUCAAAACAAAGCUCCCACUCAUAUUUGCUAUUAAUAGCCAACAGUUUUCCUCCUCUGUCCCCUCCCACAACCUCUCUCUCUUCCAGUGAUAAAGCAACCCUACGUGGGGGGCUGAGAGCUCUCGCACACCAACAGGAGGAGUUCAGCACCUCGCCGGCUGGCUCACUGCCACCUUCCCCAGGAUGCUUUCCCCGUAAGCCCACCCCGUCGGUGAUGGCAAAUUCUGGGAACAGGUGGUUUGAAGUUGGUGUUGGGUCUUGUUCAUCCUCUGACACUGGUUUUCUGCUCGCCCCUUGUAUCCCUCCUCCGAAGGAGUCUCUCCUUGGCUGUGCCGGCUUAGCAAACCUGAGAACAGGGCAACGGUCAGAGCGACAGAAAUGACUUGGCAAAGGAGAAGUGCAGCAUGAUGGGCUUCAGGAGAGAUGAGUCACCAGCGAUCUGCACUCCAGAAACAGCUCACCAGAGCCAGCUGCUGCGUUUCAGAAGACGAUCUUACUGGACUCUGCAGGCUAGCAACAAAGGUGCAGGAGGGGAGCUCAGCUUCAGCUAUUUCAGCGCAUGCAGGAGCCGAUGCAUCUGCUUGUGCCUGGGGAAGACGGACAGUCCUGGGAUGUGGAGGCUCUCCAGAGGUCAGCCUUGCUGCUUUGGAGAUGCACAGGCAGUCAGCAGGCCUUGCUACUCUCCCAUUGAUCAUUAAGCACUGACUAGAAAAGACAAAAUAGCCAAAGCUUCAAAGAGGGUUCUCACUUGGAAAUGGCCCUGUAACUCUCAGUGACCAUUUUUACUUAAGGUAGAAGAGCCUAAAAUUAAAUGUUUAUAAUUGGAUCCUUUAUUUAUUUAUUAUUUAUUUAAGGGUCACAUUUGGCCAUCACCCAGUCUGUGUUGCAGUGUGGGGACCGCACCAAGGAGGAAAGGCUCGAGCUGUAUUUAAGCAGCCCCACAGACGUGUGGCCUCCGAGGCUGCUGCGGGCAUGGAGCACUGCCUGGCUUGCCAUCAGGAGGCAGCCUGAGCUGGGAUGCUGCUCCAUGUUGCUUCUGGCACCCUUUCUCCUUUAACACAGCCUGGGCUCCCACUUGUACCAGACAGAGGCCAGAAAUGGGCUAAAAAGACUUGGAAGUCUUCUCUCUGUGCCGGUGGGGUAGGAGCUGGUGGGGCGACGGCCCAUGCUGCUGCUCUGUGAGGCUGGUGAGGGAAUAGGUCUGGUGAGCCCUUCUGUGAUGCGUGCCCCAGGAAAGAGUUCCUUAUACAUGAAAAUCCACUACAAACAGAAAGCGAAAAGAGAGAAAAAAAAAAUCUCUUCCCCGUCAACAAAGAGAAUUGGCCUGAUUUUAAUAACAAAUAAGUUUUGAAUCCAUUAAAUCAAAGCCUGUGUUUACACAUGAUGUGAAGCAUAGCUCUUAAUAUCUCAUCAUCUUCUGGAAGAAAAGAAUUUGUUCUGCUUUGUCAAACCAGCAGACAAUGCAUCACUUAUCUUUUUAUUCUACCUUGGUUUCACUGGGAAAAAUGCCACAAAAGCUUCCACUUGGGUGAAAUGCGCUACUACAGACGGGGUGAGCGGGACCAGUUUCAGGUAGGAUCUACUGAAGCAGCCUGGCUGCAGUCCAUGCUUUCUCUGCCAAGCUCCGCUUCAGCCCUGAAAUGUCAAGAUGCUGUACCUGUUUUUAAAGAACUGCUUUCCUCCCUAAAACUUGCUCUAUGAGCCAAGAGACACGACUGAGUAAAAAAGAAAAAACUCCCUGUUUUCCCCCUUCCCCCCUGUUAAAGGAACAAAACUGGGCACAAGCUGGAACGUGAGCUUCUGUCUAAACACCAGGCAGCACUAUGGUGCUGUGCAGGUGAUGGAGCACGGGCACAGGUUGCCCAAACUUGUGGGGUCUCCCUCCUUGGAAAUCUUCCAAAGCCACCUGGACGCGGCCCUGGGCAAGCAGCUCCGGGUGGCCCUGCCUGAGCAGAGGGGCUCCAGAGGGCCCUGCCAGCCUCAGCCAUCCUGCAAUCCUGUUAAACCUGUCAAAGGGCAUUAUUUUGGCUCUUUCAGACAGAAUCCCCUAAUGGCUAGAUAAGGCAGCACCUCAGUGAGGGCACCUCAGUUACAGAAAGUGUGAGAGGCUUUGUGUUGCAGUGGAAAAGUUUUAUUUUCACAUUGGUCUUUUUUUUCCUUUCUCCUUUCUCUUACGCAGUAUUGGCACGCUUUGAGAACUGCACACGCUGCUGGCUAGAGAAGACAGUGUGUUUACAGUGUUGAUUAAAAAUAUCUUACUCAGAGCACUUUCUUUAGAUAAUUCAGACAUUCCUGUUCUGAAGUCACCCUGAAACAUACUUGCGCAAUCCUAAAAUAGCAAAAGAUUUUUCCAUCUUGGAAUGGUCUUCUGUAAUUAUGACUGUAAUUAUUACCAAUAAAAACAAAACAAUGCUCCAAUCAUCUACUUUUUUAGCAAUCAGGAGAUGAGCACAGCUGAAAACUAGGAGAGCUGAGGAGCACUCUGUAAUAUAGACACCCUGCUAAGACUCUCGGGGCAGGUCUCACCAGCAUAACCUAGCUGAAGACAAAGACGUCACAUGGAUGAGUUUGUACAGAAAUGCCUUAAAAACCUCUCUCUGUGCUGUGAAUCGUGCUGGGGUGGUGCUGCUGGCAUACGGUACUGCUGCUGUCAGCGGGUUCCUGCUGUAGCUGCCUGGGGGCUGCUCACGCCAUGUGUCCAUCCCCUCAGAUGGCAAUGACAGAGCCCCACCAGGAACAGGCAGGGGACUACAUCCCAGCUCGUGGAAACAUCCUGAGCAAGCUGCAUGCCACCCCACAGUCAGGGGAGCAUGAAAAAAAAAAAAAAUUAAAAAAAAAUAAAAAAUGAGGAAAGACCACAGAAAGGCUGAGUUAAGGAAUCCAGGCAAAAUCAAGGCAGGGAGGGUGAAUGGAGAGACUUUCCUCCACCCAUGUUCUUGUGUGCGCACAUAACUUCAGGCAUGUGAGGAAUCCCUCUGGGCCCGGUAGGAACUGUUCAUAUCCUUACACUUAAGCCCACGCUGGAGUAUGUGCUCAGGUGGCACUUCAACGAGUUAGUCUUUUUUCAUGCAGUUGUUGGGCAACACAAGAAGAAAAGCAGAUGUCUCUCCAGGUGCAUGCUGAGCUGUGCGAUGAUUUCCGAAGUCUUCCUGAUGGCCACUGCUGGGCCUGUCCCCCUUCUGAUGCCAAGGCUGGGACUGCAAUGAAAUCAACCAGGGAGCACCCUGCCAGCUCCAUCCUUCUGUCCCUGGUGAAACUUUAUUUUCUGUUAAUUUUAACACGGUCAUAAACACUUGUAGAACACUGCAGAAACACCAAAGACCAGACAGUCCUUUUAUUUGUGACAGUAUAAACACCAAGUAAAUAAAUAAAAAAACACCCAAUGAAUAAAGCUGAUCUCAGAGAAUAAA